rnacentral:rRNA from 1 species
GACGAACGCUGGCGGCGUGCUUAACACAUGCAAGUCGAACGCUGAAGCUUGGUGCUUGCACUGGGUGGAUGAGUAGCGAACGGGUGAGUAAUACGUGAGUAACCUGCCCUUGACUCUGGGAUAAGCCUGGGAAACUGGGUCUAAUACUGGAUACGACAUGUCACCGCAUGGUGGUGUGUGGAAAGGGUUUUACUGGUUUUGGAUGGGCUCACGGCCUAUCAGCUUGUUGGUGGGGUAAUGGCUCACCAAGGCGACGACGGGUAGCCGGCCUGAGAGGGUGACCGGCCACACUGGGACUGAGACACGGCCCAGACUCCUACGGGAGGCAGCAGUGGGGAAUAUUGCACAAUGGGCGGAAGCCUGAUGCAGCGACGCCGCGUGAGGGAUGACGGCCUUCGGGUUGUAAACCUCUUUCAGCACGGAAGAAGCGAAAGUGACGGUACGUGCAGAAGAAGCGCCGGCUAACUACGUG